UUUCCGUAGGUGAACCUGCGGAAGGAUCAUUAGUGAAUGAAAGGGUACUUUUUAACUAAAGGCCCGACCCUCCACUUUCUAACCCUGUGCACUAUUUAAUAUGAACUGGGGUCAUUCUUUUAUUAGAAUGUGAAAAGUUCAGUUUACUUUAAAACACUAGUUAAAGAAUGUAAAUAAAAACAAAACUAAAAAAAACUUUCAACAACGGAUCUCUUGGCUCUC
rnacentral:misc_RNA from 1 species